AUUGAACGCUGGCGGCAUGCCUUACACAUGCAAGUCGAACGGCAGCGCGGGAGCAAUCCUGGCGGCGAGUGGCGAACGGGUGAGUAAUAUAUCGGAACGUGCCCAGUAGUGGGGGAUAGCCCGGCGAAAGCCGGAUUAAUACCGCAUACGACCUGAGGGUGAAAGGGGGGAUCGCAAGACCUCUCGCUAUUGGAGCGGCCGAUAUCAGAUUAGGUAGUUGGUGGGGUAAAGGCCUACCAAGCCUGCGAUCUGUAGUUGGUCUGAGAGGACGACCAGCCACACUGGGACUGGGACACGGCCCAGACUCCUACGGGAGGCAGCAGUGGGGAAUUUUGGACAAGGGGCGCAAGCCUGAUCCAGCAAUGCCGCGUGCAGGAAGAAGGCCUUCGGGUUGUAAACUGCUUUUGUCAGGGAAGAAAUCCUCUAGGCUAAUACCUUGGGGGGAUGACGGUACCUGAAGAAUAAGCACCGGCUAACUACGUGCCAGCCGCCGCCGUAA
rnacentral:rRNA from 1 species